rnacentral:rRNA from 1 species
CCUACGGGAGGCAGCAGUGAGGAAUAUUGGUCAAUGGCCGGAAGGCUGAACCAGCCAAGCCGCGUGAAGGACGAAGGUGCCAAGCAUUGUAAACUUCUUUUGUCAAGGGACAAAAUCAGGCUCGAGAGCCUGACCGAGGGUACUUGAAGAAAAAGCAUCGGCUAACUCCGUGCCAGCAGCCGCGGUAAUACGGAGGAUGCGAGCGUUAUCGGGAUUUAUUGGGUUUAAAGGGUGCGUAGGCGGACUGUUAGGUCAGCGGUAAAAGCCCGGGGCUCAACCCCGGCGAGCCGUUGAAACUGGCUGUCGUGAGAUGUCGGGAGGUAUGCGGAAUGCGCAGUGUAGCGGUGAAAUGCUUAGAUAUUGCGCAGAACUCCGAUUGCGAAGGCAGCAUACCGGCGGCGAUCUGACGCUGAGGCACGAAAGCGUGGGUAUCGAACAGGAUUAGAUACCCGGGUAGUC